ACAAGGUUCUGUAGGUGAACUUGCGGAAGGAUCAUUGUUGAU
rnacentral:rRNA from 1 species